rnacentral:hammerhead_ribozyme from 1 species
CUUCCAGUCGAGACCUGAAGUGGGUUUCCUGAUGAGGCUGUGGAGAGAGCGAAAGCUUUACUCCCGCACAAGCCGAAACUGGAAG